rnacentral:rRNA from 1 species
GACGAACGCUGGCGGCGUGCUUAACACAUGCAAGUCGAACGGCAGCGGGGGAGAAGCUUGCUUUUCCUGCCGGCGAGUGGCGAACGGGUGAGUAAUACAUCGGAACGUGCCCUGUAGUGGGGGAUGACUAGUCGAAAGAUUAGCUAAUACCGCAUACGACCUGAGGGUGAAAGUGGGGGACCGCAAGGCCCCAUGCUAUAGGAGCGGCCGAUGUCUGAUUAGCUAGUUGGUGGGGUAAAGGCCUACCAAGGCGACGAUCAGUAGCUGGUCUGAGAGGACGAUCAGCCACACUGGGACUGAGACACGGCCCAGACUCCUACGGGAGGCAGCAGUGGGGAAUUUUGGACAAUGGGCGAAAGCCUGAUCCAGCAAUGCCGCGUGUGUGAAGAAGGCCUUCGGGUUGUAAAGCACUUUUGUCCGGAAAGAAAUGGCUCUGGUUAAUACCUGGGGUCGAUGACGGUACCGGAAGAAUAAGGACCGGCUAACUACGUGCCAGCCGCCGCCGUAA